GUAUUGGUAUAUCUACCAACUUCGAUAUUUAAUUGAAGUGUCCCACUACGUAGUUUUGUAAGUAAUCGAACAUCACAAAAGAAAUUUAAGUAAUUUUCAAGACAAAAAUCUGUCUUGAUUCUUCUAUACAUGCAAAGUUUUUCACAAUCACAUAAAGAUGUGGACCACUCUUGUAAAUAUUGAUCAGUAAUACGUUUUUUA
rnacentral:lncRNA from 1 species